CAACUGGGAUUUGAUUGUGAGCCCGGAAAACAAUCAGACUGUAAUCUGCUGGGUUAUAGUGAAAUCUCAAGCUAGGCUUGAGGAGUGGACGUAGGUGCUAGGAGUGCACUGAACCACUAUAAACCUUGGUGUUUGUGAUUGUGGUUCUUCUCUUCCUUUCCUCUGUAUAUUCCUGACUGCUUUUUUAACUUUAUUCACUGUCGUAUUUGUGCAAUCUUAUUUCCGCUGCUGAAUCUAUAAGAUAACAGUAACUCAUACUCUCCA
rnacentral:lncRNA from 1 species